rnacentral:rRNA from 1 species
AGAACGAACGCUGGCAGCGUGGAUAGGCAUGCAAGUCGGACGGGAUCGGGAAGGUAGCAAUAUCGGCCCGUGAGAGUGGCGGAAGGGCGAGGAACACGUGGGCAACCUGUCCUUGAGGUGGGGAAAACCGCUGGAAACGGCGGCUAAUACCGAAUGUGGCGCCGGGAGGCAUCUUCCGAGCGCUAAAGGGGGCGAAAGCUCCCCCUCUUCGAGGGGCUCGCGCACCAUCAGCUUGUUGGCGGGGUAACGGCCCACCAAGGCUCACGGUUAGCUGGUCUGAGAGGAUGGCCAGCCGCACUGGGACUGAGAUACUGCCCAGACUCCUACGGGAGGCUGCAGUCGAGGAUCAUUCGCAAUGGGGGAAACCCUGACGAUGCGACGCUGCCGUGGAGGAUGAAGGCCCUCGGGUCGUAAACUCCUGUCAUGAGGGAAAAGGCGAGGGGGCCCAACACGUCCCUUAGUUGAUGGUACCUCAAGAGGAACGGGCGGCUAACUCUGUGCCAGCCGCAGC